rnacentral:rRNA from 1 species
AACGAACGCUGGCGGCAUGCCUAACACAUGCAAGUCGAACGAGACCUUCGGGUCUAGUGGCGCACGGGUGCGUAACGCGUGGGAACCUGCCCUUAGGUUCGGAAUAACUCCCCGAAAGGGGUGCUAAUACCGGAUAAUGUCUUCGGACCAAAGAUUUUAUCGCCUUUGGAUGGGCCCGCGUUGGAUUAGCUAGUUGGUAGGGUAAAAGCCUACCAAGGCGACGAUCCAUAGCUGGUCUGAGAGGAUGAUCAGCCACACUGGGACUGAGACACGGCCCAGACUCCUACGGGAGGCAGCAGUGGGGAAUAUUGGACAAUGGGCGAAAGCCUGAUCCAGCAAUGCCGCGUGAGUGAUGAAGGCCUUAGGGUUGUAAGGCUCUUUUACCCGGGAUGAUAAUGACAGUACCGGGAGAAUAAGCUCCGGCUAACUCCGUG